GGCGAUUUAAGAGAAAAUUCUAAAUUUUAGGGAUUGCAAUUUAGACCUGUGUUUUCAAGGUAAUUGAAUUUUAUAUUUUGCUCCGGUUUCCUCCCACAAGGCAAAAUAUGGCAGGGUGGGUUAGAAUAAACACAGUUAGAAAAGUGAUAUCAUAUUCUCAUUGUUAUAAAGAUAAAUAGUCUAGACUAACAUAAGUAACCCUAAUACUUGAUGUAAGCGGUGACUGAAAAGCCCCAAAGGGGAGUGAGCUGAAUAAUGUAAUGUUUUCACACACAUAUGCAUUGUAUGAAGCAAAAUACAAUUAUUAGAACAUGUAUGUACAUUUUAUAUAAAGCUAGGUUAAUAAUUAUUGUAUUUAACCCGAAUCAUAUAUAAAGCUCAAUAUUCGUGAACUUUUC